CAAAGAAACACAGGCCAGUAGUUCCUUCAGAGCAAUGCCAGCAGGAUUCUGCAGGCUGGUGGUGGCCAGCUCCACUCAGCUCUCUGGAGCCACAGGCUGGGAAAGCGAGGAAACCGUGGAAAGGUUUUGGCUAAAAGGAGGUGGUGAAGAGAAGAGGUGUAAGAACAGGGAGCAGACCAGUCUGACCUUCCCAAGGCCAGGGGUACAUGGGCAGUGCUUCAAGCAACAUUCAGUUUCCUAGACCCCAGGCAAAGGCUUUCCUGGCAGCCCAGGUCCCCCCGCUGCAGCCCACACAGCAAGGUGCUGGGCACCAAGAUAACAACCAACCUGGCAAGUCCCCUCCAGGUGCAGACACAGAAGACCACGAGCAGCAGAUAGAGAAUUCAGUGUUUUUCAGAGCCAGAAUUCAGCUUCCCACACCGCAACGUGAACCACUUGGAGAUGUCAAGCAGUCUAUUCAUUGCUGAGAUUGUAUUUUGAUGCUGCUCAGAGUUCCCAGACUUUGCCACAGGAAGAUGCCCAGCCCUCAGCUUCCAGAGAAAGGGACUGGACUUGGAGACUGACCUUGUCUUCAGUAUUUUAGGAACAUGUACUUGAAGAUCCUUCAAAGAAAAGCAUGAAAAGCACAGCUGAUGCCCACCUCAGGAAGGUCUUACUAUAUUCGUCUGUGUUUUCUUUAAUCAUUCUGAAAUUCAGCAUUUUCUGUAGUUCUUGUUUUCCAAUAAAGAUAUGGCAGAUAGCAAGAAAUUAUCUGCGUGGGUGCUGGAAGCUUCAGAGAUAUAAUGCACAGCAGCAAAGAAGGAAAGAGUGUCUCCACAUCUAAUUCCUUGGUCUGGA